GACGAACGCUGGCGGCGUGCUUAACACAUGCAAGUCGAACGGAAAGGCCCUGCUUUUGUGGGGUGCUCGAGUGGCGAACGGGUGAGUAACACGUGAGUAACCUGCCCUUGACUUUGGGAUAACUUCAGGAAACUGGGGCUAAUACCGGAUAGGAGCGCCUGCUGCAUGGUGGGGGUUGGAAAGUUUCGGCGGUUGGGGGUGGACUCCCGGCUUAUCAGCUUGUGGGUGGGGUAGUGGCUUACCAAGGCUUUGACGGGUGGCCGGCAUGAGAGGGUGACCGGCCACCUUGGGACUGAGAUACGGACCAGAGUCCUACGGGGGGCAGUAGUGGGGAAUAUGGUCCAAUGGGGCGAAGCCUGAUGCAGCAACGUCGCGUGCGGGAUGCAGGCCUUCGUGUUGUAAACCGCUUUAGCCUGUGACGAAGCUUGAGUGACGUUAAUGAGUAAAGAAGCACCGGCUAACUACGUG
rnacentral:rRNA from 1 species